rnacentral:rRNA from 1 species
CCUACGGGUGGCAGCAGUAGGGAAUAUUGCUCAAUGGGGGAAACCCUGAAGCAGCAACGCCGCGUGGAGGAUGAAGGUUUUAGGAUUGUAAACUUCUUUUGUGAGAGAAGCUAAUGACGGUAUCUCACGAAUAAGCACCGGCUAACUCCGUGCCAGCAGCCGCGGUAAUUCGGGGGGUGCAAGCGUUACUCGGAAUCACUGGGCGUAAAGCGUGCGCAGGCGGGUUUGUAAGUUAGGCGUUAAAUUCUGGGGGUUAACUACCGAACUGCAGUUGAAACUGGGUGUGUAGAGUGGGCGAGAGGUAGGUGGAAUGCUUGGUGUAGGGGUAAAAUGCGUAGAUAUCAAGAAGAAUACUCAUUGCGAAGGCAGCCUACUGGA